AUCCAACCAAUCCAAAAAAAAAACUACACCACGAAAUUGAGUAAUAAUGCUAUUUGUUUGAUCUGGAAGGAAGGUGAAAGCGAUCGAUAACGGAUGAAAUUUGUUGAUCAAGAAAGACACAUCUCUGAACCGGAAGAUAGUUAAAGAUGGAAACGUUUUCUUUUGCCUUUUAUCCUUUUUCUGAGCAACCCACGCAGCAAGGUCUUCAUUUUAUAGACCAAAAAGAAACUGAGACUUGGGAAAGUAUAGGCGAGAGAGAUCUGAGAGUAGCGAGUCUGAAGAGGGAGUACAAGUACUGGAUCGUGGUCAUCGACACAUACAAACCCAAGCAUCCAUCAACGAUCUUGUUCCGGUACAAUCUUCCCAUGGAAGCUAAAUCGAGGACUCGCCGGAGUGGAGUUGUCUCCGACGGGGACCAUCAGCGGCCAUCCCAUCAAGUUCUCGGUUGAGGUCAUGUGAUAGAGCCCCACACUGGUACAGUACAUCACUACCUUAGCUUUAGCUUUUUUAAUAAUAAUUCUUAAGCUUCUGUUUGGUUGACGAGAAACUGAAAUCCCACUAAAGUACUAAACUGCUCCGUUCUGAAGCACAAUUAAAAGCAUUAAAAGAACAGUAAAAUCUUUAUUGAAAAAAACAAACGGGAAAAUCAAAGAAGUAAACCAUAUUUAUUUUCAUCAACAAAGAUCCUUGGGAAAGUAUGUAUCACGGCGUGAAGUUAUAGUAGCACCAAAAUGCUUUUUUUUUCUCCAACAUUAUGCAUCUUUAUGGAAGAGUAUAGUCCCACGUAGACUUCCACCUUCUGCUGCUUGCACUUCCAUCUGCAAAAUACUGGGUCAAACCAAAGCAGGGUGUUUCCAUAGCCUAAACCAAUUGGGGCCAGGGAAGUACUAAACUGGAAAUUAGAGAGAGGACGUGGAGUGUAAUAAUGGGGAAGUGUGUGAAACAGAGGGCAUUCGAUGCGGGCAUGUCUGUAUUUGUUACGAGAGUAAAUUUAUAUAUUAGGUAAGUUGUGAACACGGAAUCAUACAACAGUUGGAGUGUCAUUAUUCUUAUUUUAUCACCUUUCAUAAACAUUCAAAUCAACAAAAAAAAAAAAAAAAUCAAUGAACAUUCCUUAAAGACCCAGAACUUUAGUUAGAGAUCAACAAGGCUUGGUCUUAAAGAAGAGAAAGAAAAAAGUGAAAAAAAAAAAAAGUGAAAAGAAACAAAAGUGUCAUAUGAUUAGAAGCUGACCUCUAAUGGCGAUCAGAGAAAUUCUAGCUUUAGCAUCCUUCAUGGGUAGGAUCCCACAAUUCAAAUUCUACACCAUCGUUGUGGGAUAUCCAUUAAAUUAAACAAACAAAAUAUCCCCUCCACUACAGUUAAUGAGCCCAGAAUCCAAAUUUUAUAACCAAAUGAUUGGGUGUUUUGGGAGAUCAGCAUCCGGAUGCCUAUAACGUCCCAUUCUCUAAAUUUUAGUAAAAUUUUUAACUUUUUAAUAAAAACUCAUCUCCAUUUGUUUUUAUCCUCAGAGUGAGAAUGAUCCUCCACGUGUAUGAUGUAAUCCUUCUCGAACAAUUGUCCAAGGCUGACAACAUUGCUUUUAUGUUUGGCACAUAAUCAACAUUGGAGAUUUUUAUUUUCACCAUCCUUUUGAUAAAUUUUUAUCUUCCCUUUGCCUUCAUCUGAGAGUUUGGAUGAGUCUCCAGGUUUACAUUUCCACGAACUCCUUCUAUGAGUUCUACAAAUAGAUCUUUCUUCCUAGAUAUGUGAUUGCUUGCACCAGAAUUAAGGUACCAAACCUCACAUUGUGAACUUGAAUCAUCAUGAGUAAGAAGUAGGGUGGUGUCACUACCAGCGUCAUUUGUUGCGUCUGCAACAUUGGCUUGUUCGUUGUCUUAUUGCCAACAAUGCGAGGCACAGUGUCCAAACUUAUUGCAAUUAUAGCAUUGGAUGUUCUUGGUGUUUUCAUGUCCAUGUGUGGACCUUCCUCUUCCUCAAUUACCUCCUCUUUCCCGGCCUCUUGAACUUCUAUUUUCUUGUUGACUUCAGUCUGGUCAUUGGUGACUUCCACUCUGCCUCGACCUCGGUUGGGGCUGGAUUUCCCUCGAUCAUUUAGAAUAAUUUUUUACUCUAUCGCUUAUUCUAACAUGUUAGAAAUAGCAGUAUUUUGAAUCAUUUGCUCAUGUACUUGGAGAGACCUAUCAAUUCCUCAAUUGUAAGCUUCUCCAAAUUCUUAGACUUUUCCAUAGCUACAACUACAUGUUCAAAUUUAGGAGGGAGGGAUCAAAGGAUUUUUUCGAUGAAUUGGAUGUCAUCAAUCUUUUCAUUGUUUCUUUUAAAACCAUUCACGAUCACCAACGUAGUUAGGGCCAAGUAACUCAAUUGUAGAAGAUAUGAAUUCUUGAAUACCUUUCCUUGACCCAUAUUCAAAUGACUUCAAGCAUGCCGCACCCGUUUGCGAAUAAACCAGGACAUUCGCACGAUAGAUAUAAUUUUCAUUGAACCCAUAAUCUGGCCAAAUGUUGACCAUCAAGGUACAACCUGCUUGAAUUGAAUCUUUAGUAAAAUUUUAAAGAUAUUCUGUAGCUUCUAUUUCGACAAUUAACAUCGAUUGCUCCUUGAAAGUAGCGGUACUUGGUGGUUAAUAACCGGACCCGUAUUCAACAAAUACUAUUCACAAAGUACGCAGAAGAUGGGAGACACAAGACCUGAGAAUGAAUGCCAAAUGAGAAGAGCAAUUUAGCCAAUGAGCUUUGCCACUCAUAAGUCCCACACACCACAUACCUCACUUCUAUAUUUUUAAAUUAAUUUUGGAUUUAUUCUUUUUAGACUAAUUAAAUUUUUCUACUCAUUAUCUAUAUACCAAAUAUUUGGUAAAAGAAAAAAAAUUAAAAAAAUUAAAAAAAAUGUGUGGUGUGUGGUGUAUGGGUUUAUGUUUAGAAUUUUUCUUAGCGAAUUGUUUAUACAGCACUUGACUCUUAGAGCCAAUGCCAAUGCAUUUUCAAAUUUUGCCUAUGAUUGAAGUUGUUUGCAUUAGAGUACUCAAAACUCCUCAGCUUCACUUUUGAGAUACAGUAACUCCAAACUCUUAUCAGUUUGGUGAGUUACUAUUCAUAGCCAAAAGGAAUUUUUUAUUCUAAAA